rnacentral:rRNA from 1 species
UACGGAGGGUGCAAGCGUUAUCCGGAUUCACUGGGCGUAAAGGGCGCGUAGGCGGCCUGAUAAGUAGGGGGUGAAAUCCUGCGGCUUAACCGCAGGGCUGCCUUCUAAACUGUCAGGCUAGAGCACGGUAGAGGCAGAUGGAAUUCCCGGUGUAGCUGUGGAAUGCGUAGAGAUCGGGAAGAACAUCAGUGGCGAAGGCGGUCUGCUGGGCCGUUGCUGACGCUGAGGCGCGACAGCGUGGGGAGCAAACAGG